GACAUGUGUAUGCUUUGAUCGAUGUGUAUGCGCUCUAUAAUGUAUUUGGUUUCUCGAUUAAUCAAUGUGUAUGCUUUCUAUUCUCUGUACAGCCCAGAUUGUUAAUAUGUAUGGAUUUGUCUGUGUAAUUUGGUCCACCAUCGUUGACGUUCUAGUGCAAUCCAGGCCCGUGUUUUUGUGUUCAUGGCAUUUGCUUGUUGAUUUAAAUGAAGAUUUAUUUCUGUGCAACAGGCCUGUGGCCUGCCUUUUUUUUAAAAUCUCAGAAUUUGUACCAGUGGCGGUCAU
rnacentral:lncRNA from 1 species